rnacentral:rRNA from 1 species
AUUGAACGCUGGCGGCGGGCUUAACACAUGCAAGUCGAGCGGGGUGAUGGUGCUUGCACUAUCACUUAGCGGCGGACGGGUGAGUAAUGCUUAGGAAUCUGCCUAUUAGUGGGGGACAACAUCUCGAAAGGGAUGCUAAUACCGCAUACGUCCUACGGGAGAAAGCAGGGGAUCACUUGUGACCUUGCGCUAAUAGAUGAGCCUAAGUCGGAUUAGCUAGUUGGUGGGGUAAAGGCCUACCAAGGCGACGAUCUGUAGCGGGUCUGAGAGGAUGAUCCGCAACACUGGGACUGAAACACGGCCCAGACGCCUACGGGAGGCAGCAGUGGGGAAUAUUGGACAAUGGGGGGAACCCUGAUUCAGCCAUGCCGCGUGUGUGAAGAAGGCCUUAUGGUUGUAAAGCACUUUAAGCGAGGAGGAGGCUCUUUUGGUUAAUACCCAAGAUGAGUGGACGUUACUCGCAGAAUAAGCACCGGCCAACUCUGUGCCAGCCGCCGCCGUAA